GACUUUUCUCUGUUUAUUCACUGGAGAAAUCAAUACUGAUAUAUCCACAGUGGGUUUAGGUGGGAUCUUGGGACUGGGUUCUGCUCUGCGUGCCUCUGCGCUGUGGUUGGGAAUCGCAUCAUUGUGGCAGGGAAAGGCUGAACCUCAUCCUCCUACCCAUGGGAGACACCUGCAGCACUCUGAGCCCCCCCCAGUCAUGUUCGUUUGCUGCAGAGGAUGAGAAAAAUCUGGAAGGAGUUGUGGGGAGGUUGCCAUGAGCUUGAGGAUCAGCAGAGCAGGGCGGAGGUGGGCUGGGAAGGAGACCUGCAUGUCAUUGUCACCUGCUUCCACUGUGACAGCACGGUGACAAACGGCUUUGUGACAUUCCCCUGCACUGCUCUGACAACCCAUCAGCAAGGUGCAAACAGCAAAGUGUUGCAUGAUAAGGGGCCUGGCAUAACGACUCAGGAGAAUGUGCAGCAACAUCCAUGACAUCGGUGAAGACAGACUAAGGAGACAUCCAACGUUUUGUCACUCAGGGGACAGUUUUCUGCAUGCCAUGACUGGCAGGUGUCUUGUAACAUGACAGGAGGUGGCAGAAGACCAGCUAUGAGACCUGACGUGCGUCAGUGCUGUACUCCUAACGGAGUCUCCAAGGGGAAUCCUAACAAAGUAGACUGCCAGAGACGCUCACCUGGUCCACAGCUUUGAUAGGAGCAAAAAGUCAUGGGAGAAUGGUGUGAGAAAACAGGUUAUGAACGGGCUGAACUUGCCCACAGGCCAUGGCGUGAGCACCCCUGAGCUGUGGAGAAAGCUCAAGUCCUGGAGCAUCAGCGUUUGUGUCUGAGUGAUACGGGCUGGCAGGCUGCACAGAUACCUCCAGCCCUGCCUUUUUGCACAUCCAGCUGCAAUCACAAGAAUCUGUAAACAGUCAAAAAAAAUACAAAAACAUGAUUUUUUUUUUCUUUCUACAAGCCACCUGCCGCCUGUCAAUGUGGAGCACAACCCUUUGUGUAGCAAGUCCAAUAAACAAAACCGUAAAGCAUCUGUCCUGCA
rnacentral:lncRNA from 1 species